rnacentral:tRNA from 1 species
CGGCGGUGGAACCGAGGCACCUGCCUUCACACGGCAGGGGUCGCUGGUUCGAACCCAGCAUCGCCCACCA